UACGGAGGAUGCAAGCGUUAUCCGGAUUUAUUGGGUUUAAAGGGUGCGUAGGCGGAUAUGUAAGUCAGCUGUGAAACUCACAGGCUCAACCUGUGCCGUGCCGUUGAAACUGUGUAUCUGGAAUGCGGAUGCUGUGGGAGGAAUGUGUAGUGUAGUGGUGAAAUGCAUAGAUAUUACACAGAACACCGAUUGCGAAGGCAUCUCACAAAGCCGUUAUUGACGCUGAGGCACGAAAGUGUGGGGAU
rnacentral:rRNA from 1 species